rnacentral:lncRNA from 1 species
UACCCAAUGGCCGGCCAGGACCAUUCCCGUUGUUGCUAUUACCCAAUGGCCGGCCAGGACCAUUCCCGUUGUUGCUAUUACCCAGUGGCCGGCCAGGACCAUUACCGUUGUUGCUAUUACCCAGUGGCCGCCCCGGACCAUUCCCGUUGUUGCUAUUACCUAGUGGCCGGCCAGAACGAUUUCCGCUGUUGCUAUUACUCAUUGGCCGGCCAGGACCACUCUCAUUGUUAUUUCCCAUUGGCCGACCAGGACCAUUCCCACUGCAGCUAUUAACCAAUUGUUUCUUAGCCUUCAUCAUGG